UAGUAACGGCGAGUGAAGCGGGAAGAGCUCAAAUUUGAAAGCUGGCGCCUUCGGCGUCCGCGUUGUAAUCUCGAGAAGUUUUCCGUGCUGGACCAAGAAAACGUUCCUUGGAAUAAGACGUCAUAGAGGGUGAAAAUCCCGUACUUGAUGUGGCCGCCCAGUGCUUUGUGAUACACUUUCCAUGAGUCGAGUUGUUUGGGAAUGCAGCUCAAAAUGGGUGGUAAAUUCCAUCUAAAGCUAAAUAUUGGGGAGAGACCGAUAGCGAACAAGUACCGUGAGGGAAAGAUGAAAAGCACUUUGGAAAGAGAGUUAAAUAGUACGUGAAAUUGUCGAAAGGGAAGCGCUUGAAGUUAGACAUGCUAGUUGGAAUUCAGCCUUGCUUUUGCUUGGUGCAUUUUCCGGUUAGCAGGCCAGCAUCAGUUUUGCCUGUCGGAUAAGGGUAGGAGGAAUGUGGCCCCUCGGGGUGUUAUAGCCUCUUACUGGAUACGACGGGUGGGACUGAGGACAGCAGUGCGCCUUUAUGGCGGGCCUUCGGGCACCUUCGCACUUAGGAUGCUGGCGUAAUGGCUUUAAGCGACC
rnacentral:rRNA from 1 species